UCAAAACCAGGGUAACAUUCUCUUCUAUUUCUGGAAAGAAGUUCUAUCAUACCGUCUUCCCAAUUUAGCUUCAAUGGCUGCAUCUUGUUCAAUUCAGAGCAAAUGUAGAGUUUUUAUACUUAAUUCAGUAAUUAGGGAUCGCAUUUUACCUACAUAUGUCUAAAUUCAAGCAUUUUUGGGUAAAUUCUUCUUUGGAUUAACAUAUCGACUCAGGAUCUGCUGUUUUCUUCUCUCCUUGCGAUUUUGCAGAUUAUGCAGUACCACUACACCUAAUUUCGACCUCAGGCGGAUCAAAUUUAUUCGUUCCUAUUUCUCUUCGUUUAUGCGUGUUCAUAUAUACUAGAAUGGAUCCAUUAGUCCAUUUCGUUACUAAAAUUUGUCAAAUAUAAUUGACUAGGUGAGAGCCUUAAGGGAACAUGAAGCUGUUAGGUUAAUUCGUCGCUUGUGGAAAUCAUGGCUUUGUGUAAUGGAACCACUUUGAUAUUUGUUUUUUUUUUUUCAUUUAGAUCAAUCAAAUACUGUAUGAGAUUCAUAAUUUAAAUGUACAUAACAUACUUGAAGUUCAAGUUCACUUCAUUAGCA